rnacentral:rRNA from 1 species
GGAUUAGAUACCCUGGUAGUCCACGCCGUAAACGAUGUUCACUCGCUGUCUGCGAUACACAGUAGGCGGCUGAGCGAAAGCAUUAAGUGAACCACCUGGGGAGUACGAUCGCAAGGUUGAAACUCAAAGGAAUUGACGGGGGCCCGCACAAGCGGAGGAACAUGUGGUUUAAUUCGAUGAUACGCGAGGAACCUUACCUGGGCUUAAAUGUAGAUUGCAUAACUUAGAAAUAGGUUUUCCCUUCGGGGCUAUUUACAAGGUGCUGCAUGGUUGUCGUCAGCUCGUGCUG